UAGGUCUGUCCUAAGUCAAACUUCUUUAAGUUUGACCAAGUGUACAUGAAAUUUUGCUAAUACCUACAACAUCAAACACAUAUAGUAGUAUGAAAAUAUAUUUUAUGGUUAAUCUAAUGAACUAAUGUGGUGUUGUAAAUGUUUGUAUAGUUUUCUGUAGACUUGAUCAAAGUUAAAGAAGUUUGACUUAGGACAAACUUUG
rnacentral:pre_miRNA from 1 species